CGGACGGGUGAGUAACGCGUGAGAAUCUGCCUUCAGGUCGGGGACAACCACUGGAAACGGUGGCUAAUACCGGAUAUGCCGCAACGUGAAAGAUUUAUCGCCUGAAGAGGAGCUCGCGUCUGAUUAGCUAGUUGGCGGGGUAAAAGCUCACCAAGGCGACGAUCAGUAGCUGGUCUGAGAGGACGACCAGCCACACUGGGACUGAGACACGGCCCAGACUCCUACGGGAGGCAGCAGUGGGGAAUUUUCCGCAAUGGGCGAAAGCCUGACGGAGCCAGACCGCGUGGGGGACGAAGGCUCUUGGGUUGUAAACCCCUUUUCUCAGGGAAGAAAAAAAUGACGGUACCUGAGGAAUAAGCAUCGGCUAACUCCGUGCCAGCAGCCGCGGUAGGACGGAGGAUGCAAGCGUUAUCCGGAAUGAUUGGGCGUAGAGCGUCCGCAGGUGGCUCUUCAAGUCUGCUGUCAAAGAGCAAGGCUCAACCUUGUCAAGGCAGUGGAAACUGAAAGGCUAGAGUGUGGUAGGGGUAGAGGGAAUUCCCAGUGUAGCGGUGAAAUGCGUAGAGAUUAGGAAGAACACCGGUGGCGAAAGCGCUCUACUGGACCUGCACUGACACUGAGGGACGAAAGCUAGGAGAGCGAAUGGGAUUAGAUACCCCAGUAGUC
rnacentral:rRNA from 1 species